GGGUCAGACUGCUUCUCUUACAGAGUAUGUGUGUGCGCAGCGGUGACAGGGGGAACUGAGCUUUUUGGACUUUGGGGUAAUAUUUGCAUGACCGGGAGGCUGCAUCUAAAAUACAGAGAUGGAGAAGAGCCUUUGGAGAGGGAGGCCCGUCGCUAAUCAUCUUUCAUUGAGGCUGCCAGAAGUCGAGCGUGUAGUGGAACACCACUGAGCCCACAUACAACCUGCUACAAGAGACAUACCAUGGAUGUGCACCACCCAUGUGCUGCACAAUGCCCACAUACAACCUGCUACAAGAGACAUACCAUGGAUGUGCACCACCCAUGUGCUGCACAAUGCCCACAUACAACUCUUUUUGUCUCAACAGCUGGAAAACAGAAUCAACAAUGUCCAGUUACUCUAGCCUAUAUUCAACCAACUUUAAAUUGAGACUGUAUUGCAUUGCGUCCUCUACUGGCCUUCUUAGUACACUGCAGGUACAGUUUGUACCUGUAUAAUGUAAUAAAGUGUGUAAUAAAGUUAGUGCGUUUUUGUUAACACUUUUACUUUGAAAAUGGUAUACAUGUAUUCGGA
ensembl:lncRNA